CUUGAUUAAACCAUAAGAGGUCCAGCCUGCCCAGUGACAUUGUUCAACGGCCGCGGUAUCCUAACCGUGCGAAGGUAGCGUAAUCACUUGUCCUUUAAAUGAAGACUAGUAUGAAUGGCCCCACGAAAGCUAUACUGUCUCCUUUUUCUAAUCAGUUAAACUAAUCUCCCCGUGAAGAAGCGGGGAUAAACAUAUAAGACGAGAAGACCCUAUGGAGCUUCAAACAACUGAAACACUUGUAUAUCCUCCCCUCACCUGCCAACAUUUAACCUCACAUUUUUGUUUCUAGUUUUAGGUUGGGGUGACCACGGAGAAAAAACUAACCUCCACGACGAAAGAGACAUCUCUAAACAAAAAGCUACAUCUUUAUGUAUUAACACAUUAACCUUUAUUGACCCAAUAAAUUGAUCAACGAAC
rnacentral:rRNA from 1 species